CAUGAUUCUGUAAAUUCUUUACAAUCACUGGUUUUCUCCAAAACUGAAUCUUUCCUAUCCAAAAUGGUGGAUUCCAACCUGAAAGAAAAAUAUGAGGAAUAUUGAAAGGGACAUAAGUUAUUUCAAACAAAAUGAUCAAGGAUGUGAAGAAGCCCAUGCAAGAUAUUCAUGAGCACAGUGUGUGAACAAGUUCAACUUCCAAAGCGUAUACCUGCGUGAAGAGUCAUAGUUCAUACCCUCAUGUAUUUUUAAAAAAUGAAAUUUAUUUUUUAAAUUUAAAUUCUACUUUCAUUUC